UAAUAAAUAAAUUGUGGUUGUUAUUACUUUUCGUGGUAACGCAUCGGAAUUGAGUCGUCUUACCUUCGGUUAAGUGACUUAAAGUUUUAUCAUACGAUUUCGAAACGUAUUUAAUGUAUUAUGUACGUUCACGAAUAUCGAAUGUUUUAUUAGGUGCGUUCAUUUCAUGAAUUCGCGUCUAUAAUUUUUU
rnacentral:misc_RNA from 1 species